GAUGAACGCUGGCGGCGUGCUUAACACAUGCAAGUCGAACGGAAAGGCCCAAGCUUGCUUGGGUACUCGAGUGGCGAACGGGUGAGUAACACGUGGGUGAUCUGCCCUGCACUUCGGGAUAAGCCUGGGAAGCUGGGUCUAAUACCGGAUAGGACCACAUUUUGGAUGGUGUGGUGGAAAGUUUUUCGGUGUGGGAUGAGCUCGCGGCCUAUCAGCUUGUUGGUGGGGUAAUGGCCUACCAAGGCGUCGACGGGUAGCCGGCCUGAGAGGGUGUACGGCCACAUUGGGACUGAGAUACGGCCCAGACUCCUACGGGAGGCAGCAGUGGGGAAUAUUGCACAAUGGGCGCAAACCUGAUGCAGCGACGCCGCGUGGGGGAUGACGGCCUUCGGGUUGUAAACUCCUUUCGCUAGGGACGAAGCGUUAUGUGACGGUACCUGGAGAAGAAGCACCGGCUAACUACGUG
rnacentral:rRNA from 1 species